AGUGAACGCUGGCGGUAGGCCUAACACAUGCAAGUCGAACGGCAGCACAGUAAGAGCUUGCUCUUACGGGUGGCGAGUGGCGGACGGGUGAGGAAUACAUCGGAAUCUACUUUUUCGUGGGGGAUAACGUAGGGAGACUUACGCUAAUACCGCAUACGACCUACGGGUGAAAGCAGGGGAUCUUCGGACCUUGCGCGAUUGAAUGAGCCGAUGUCGGAUUCGGUAGUUGGCGGGGUAAAGGCCCACCAAGGCGACGAUCCGUAGCUGGUCUGAGAGGAUGAACAGCGAAACUCGAACUAGAACACGGUGCAGUUACCUAUGUGAGUAUGCAAUGGGGGAAUUUGGAAUAUGGACAGAAUACUGAUCCAACAAGACCGAGUAGGUGAAUAAAGCCUUCCGAUUCGAAAACCCUUUUGUUAGGAAAGAAAAGCAGCAGAUUAGUAACCCGCAGUUCUGACGGUACCCAAAGAAUAAGCACCGGCUAACUUCGUG
rnacentral:rRNA from 1 species